rnacentral:lncRNA from 1 species
CGUUGUUAUUUUCUUUAUUUUAUCAUUUCCUCUUGUGCUUUGUUUCGAGCUCUUUUAUAUUUUUUUUAUUUGAGGUGAUGACGAUGUUUGAAUAAUAAUCCUCUUUUUCCUUCCCGUCUCUGUGAAAUCUUUGGAUUGAAGAAGUCAUGUCGGGAUCUUGUUCCUAUCCUUGUACGCUCUAUCGCUGACACAAAAGGGGGAACAAGAAAUAGCAAUAAAGAGGACCGUCCUUCCGUAUAAAGCCACCUUUAUUCCCUUUUGGGUCCUCACUUCACUCAUCCUCUUCCUAUCCUUUGUUUCCCUUUGAAAAUUUAUAAAUCCCAAAACUGAGGUUUUUCAAUGUACGUCGUCCCCUAUAUCGGCGACAAUGACUGAUUUCUCGGAGUGGAUGUUGAUCGUAAUAUUUGGAAUCCUUAGACAUCUGUUUAUGUGCACCCUAUUGGCGACUCUCCAGCAGCAUUUUGAGGAUGGCAGAAGGACGUACCAAAGAUGAUCGGCUAUGCCUCUGCCGACGGGUGAACGAUCGGCGUCUUAGUUGUCUUUUCCUUUCUCACUUUUUUACCCUUCCCGUUUUAUCAUGUAUUCUCAUUGUACCCCCCACCAUUCCCUUUGAGCGUCUGUUGUAUUUCGAGUAUUGAAUAAAUUCUUCACCCUUGUCACCGA